rnacentral:rRNA from 1 species
AUCUAAGUACCCCGAGGAAAAGAAAUCAACCGAGAUUCCCCCAGUAGCGGCGAGCGAACGGGGAGCAGCCCAGAGCCUGAAUCAGUGUGUGUGUUAGUGGAAGCGUCUGGAAAGGCGCGCGAUACAGGGUGACAGCCCCGUACACAAAAAUGCACAUACUGUGAGCUCGAUGAGUAGGGCGGGACACGUGGUAUCCUGUCUGAAUAUGGGGGGACCAUCCUCCAAGGCUAAAUACUCCUGACUGACCGAUAGUGAACCAGUACCGUGAGGGAAAGGCGAAAAGAACCCCGGCGAGGGGAGUGAAAAAGAACCUGAAACCGUGUACGUACAAGCAGUGGGAGCACGCUUCGGCGUGUGACUGCGUACCUUUUGUAUAAUGGGUCAGCGACUUAUAUUCUGUAGCAAGGUUAACCGAAUAGGGGAGCCGAAGGGAAACCGAGUCUUAACUGGGCGUUAAGUUGCAGGGUAUAGACCCGAAACCCGGUGAUCUAGCCAUGGGCAGGUUGAAGGUUGGGUAACACUAACUGGAGGACCGAACCGACUAAUGUUGAAAAAUUAGCGGAUGACUUGUGGCUGGGGGUGAAAGGCCAAUCAAACCGGGAGAUAGCUGGUUCUCCCCGAAAGCUAUUUAGGUAGCGCCUCGUGAAUUCAUCUCCGGGGGUAGAGCACUGUUUCGGCAAGGGGGUCAUCCCGACUUACCAACCCGAUGCAAACU